rnacentral:rRNA from 1 species
CCUACGGGAGGCAGCAGUGAGGAAUAUUGGUCAAUGGGCGGGAGCCUGAACCAGCCAAGCCGCGUGAGGGAAGAAGGUACAGCGUAUCGUAAACCUCUUUUGUCAGGGAACAAAGGCUGGGACUAGUCCCCUUAUGAGUGUACCUUAAGAAAAAGCAUCGGCUAACUCCGUGCCAGCAGCCGCGGUAAUACGGAGGAUGCGAGCGUUAUCCGGAUUUAUUGGGGUUAAAGGGUGCGCAGGGGGCCUGUUAAGUCAGCGGUAAAAGUCAGGGGCUAAACCCCGACGAGCCGUUGAAACUGGCGGGCUGGAGUUGGAGAGAGGUACGCGGAAUGCGCGGUGUAGCGGUGAAAUGCUUAGAUAUCGCGCAGAACCCCGAUUGCGAAGGCAGCGUAC